UACGUAGGGGGCAAGCGUUGUCCGGAUUUAUUGGGCGUAAAGAGCGUGUAGGCGGUUUGGUAGGUCCGUUGUGAAAACUCGAGGCUCAACCUCGAGACGUCGGUGGAAACCGUCUGGCUAGAGUCCGGAAGAGGAGAGUGGAAUUCCCGGUGUAGCGGUGAAAUGCGCAGAUAUCGGGGAAGAACACCCGUGGCGAAGGCGGCUCUCUGGGCGGUACUGA
rnacentral:rRNA from 1 species